rnacentral:rRNA from 1 species
CACGUAGGGCGCAAGCGUUGUCCGGAAUUAUUGGGCGUAAAGAGCUCGUAGGCGGUCUGUUGCGUCUGCUGUGAAAACUCGGGGCUUAACCCCGAGCCUGCAGUGGAUACGGGCAGACUAGAGGUAGGUAGGGGAGAAUGGAAUUCCCGGUGUAGCGGUGAAAUGCGCAGAUAUCGGGAGGAACACCGAAGGCGAAGGCAGUGUCCUGGCGAGUAUCCUGACGCUGAGGUGCGAAAGCCAGGGGAGCGAACGGG